GAUCCGGUAGCCUAGUGGUUAGAGCGUCCGCCUCGAAUGCGAGAGGUCGGGUCGUGGGUUCGAACCCGGCCGAGUCA